UGAGAGGUGAAGUGAUUCAAUACCUAUUUGCAGUGGACGCCCGUUGCAUAUAAAGAUUAAAAAUGAAGCUAUUACUAAUAGUCAUGGCAGCUUUUGGUGGAGUAUUAAGCAUCACAUACGAUUCGGAUGUCUUCGAUAAAUUGGAUAUUCAGCGCAUUGUCGAGAGCAAUGUUAAAAGAAGAGAGGCCUUUAACUGCCUCAUGGAUCGUGGACCGUGUGAAAAAUACCAACAUAUUAAAGAAAAAUGUCCUGAAAUGGUUAAAA